GCACAUCUGGCUGACAUGAUUGUCGUGCUCACACAUGAACAGGGCCUAGGAAUGAGGUGGUAUUGCUCCAUAUGCCUGAGACCCUAACAAAAGCCUAAUUACAACUCAUAUGCCUGGAGCCAGGACAUGUGCAGGAUGACUCUGCCAAGAGAGGGGAUUAUUACAUAUUGCAGAGCCCAGCACCUAGGUGGAGUGACUCUCAUCUUUUUCUUCUACCCCGUAUAUAGCCAGCUUGGUGACCUACUAUUUGAGUCUAUACCCAGGCCCAGACCACAGAUGAAAUUGUGCAAUAUGUGGAACAAACACCUAAACAAUAUAUAACACCUUCCUUGGCUCUGUCUACAAAGGGCACUUUUAUAUAUCACUGGGACCAUCAACCAGGUGAUGUUAAUUAUCUUCCUGAAACCUGUCUACAAAGAGAGUUGUGUCGUAUACCUAGGCCCGUCAUGUAAGUGAUGUCAGUCCCUUCUACUGCCUUGGCCCUGCACUUACAGUGCAUUGUGACACAUAACAAGGUACUGCACACAGACGAUGUGAUUCUCCUUUUUGGGUUCUGCCAAAAGGAAGCAUUGUAAUAAAUCGCUUGGCUCAGUA
rnacentral:lncRNA from 1 species